ensembl:lncRNA
CCCUUACUUGUGUAUGAGAAACACCAGACACUUUAAAUUCAGGGAUAUGAGAAACUACGUCAGGUCUAUUAGAAACUACACGAACAGAGGCCAAACUCGGGUUCUGACAAGAUGGCCGGGCUGCCCCACAGGAUCAUCAAGGAAACCCAGCGUUUGCUGGCAGAACCAGUUCCUGGCAUCAAAACAGAACCAGAUGAGAGCAACGCCAGUUAUUUUCAUGUGGUCACUGCUGACCCUCAAGGUUCCCCCUUUGAGGGAGGGACUUUUAAACUUGAACUAUUCCUUCCUGAAGAAUACCCAAUGGCAGCCCCUAAAAUAAGUGUUACCCAGCACUGCAGAUCCGCACAGUUCUGCUAUCGAUUCAGGCCUUGUUAAGUGCUCCCAAUCCAGAUGAUCCAUUAGCAAAUGAUGUAGUGGAGCAAUGAAAGACCAACGAAGCCCAAGCCAUAGAAACAGCUAGAGCAUGGACUAGGCUAUAUGCCAUGAAUAAUCUUUAAACUGAUCCGAUCAUCAAGUGUGUAUCACUUCUCCUGUUCUGCCAAGACGUCCUCCUUUUUGUUUGCAUUUAAUGGACACAGUCUUAGAAACAUUACAGAAUAAAAAAGCCCAGACAUCUUCAGUCCUUUGGUGAUUAAAUGCACAUUAGCAAAUCUAUGUCUUGUCCUGAUUCACUGUCAUAAAGCAUGAGCAGAGGCUAGAAGUAUCAUCUGGAUUGCUGUGAAACGUUUAAAAGCAGUGGCUCCUCCCUGCUUUUAUUCAUUUCCCCCAUCCUGGUUUAAGUAUAAAGCACUGUGAAUGAAGGUAGCUGUCAGGUUAGCUGCAGGGGUGUGGGUGUUUUUCCUUAUUUUAUUUUAUUUUUUUGAGGGGGGAGGUAGUUUUAUUUUAAUUUUAUGGGCUCCUUUCCCCCCUUUUUUGGUAAUCUAACUGCAUUGGUUAAAAGCAGCUAACCAGGUCUUUAGAAUAUGCUCUCUAGCCAAAUCUAACUUUAUUUAGACGCUGUAGAUGGACAAACUUGAUUGUUUGAACUAAAAUGGGAACAUUGAACAAACAUCAUAGCCCUCACUAAUAACAUUGCUGUCAAGUGUAGAUUCCCCCCUUCAAAAAAAACUUGUGACCGUUUUGUAUGGCUUGUCUGGAAACUUCUGUAAAUCUUAUGUUUCAGUAAAAUAUUUUUUGUUAUUCUAAAAAAAAAAAAAAAAAAACUGCAUGAACAGAGGGAAACAAUAGUACAUUUCUUAAGAAUGUUGUGUAUCCUGGAUUAUUUUAGUAUUUUUUUAAAAAUUCUGAUUUUACAACAAAUUACUCAUAAUUAGUAAUUAGAUUUGGGUAAACCCAGAAAAGUAUUUACUUAACUCUUAUUAGGUGUAAGGAUGUUUGCUGGAUCCUAAGGCAGGGAAUAAAUGUAAUGAGCAUAAGGAUGUGUCUAUUAAGUUGAUGUAUACAUUUACAUUUGUAUAUGGCAAAGUAAAUUUUAUUACCAUAAGUAUAACACAUUAGUAAGGCUUAAAAACAAUGUUGGCAUUUAUGAAAUGUUACCUUAAACGUUUUCUGAAGUGUUUCCCAUGGAAUACUAAUUCUGAAAAUGCCUUGACACAUGUUAAAUUAAUACAUGUUUUUAAUUAUAUUAUGGCGGAAUGUUCUAAGAAAAAAUGACCCAUCAUCAAUGUAUAUUAAAAUCUCAUUUUUAGCUGGACAUGGUGAUUCAUGCCUGUAAUCCCAGGCAUCUACUUUGGAAGGCCAAGGUGAGCAGAUUGCUUGAAUCCAGGAAUUCAAGACUAACCUGGGCAACAUGGCGAAACCCUGUCACUACAAAAUAAUAUAAAAAUAUUAGCAGGGAGUGGUGGUGUGUGCCUGCAGUUCCAGCUACUUGGGAGGCUUAGAUGGGAGGAUUGCAUGAGCUGGGGAGACGGAGAUUGCAAUGAGCCAAGAUGACACCAUUGUACUCCAGCCUAGGUGAUAGAGUGAGACUCAGUCUCAAAAAAAAAAAAAAUUACCCAUUUUAGUAAUUCACAAUGCAUAUUAUUUUGGGACUUCCAACAGUCUUUGACAAAAUAAAAUCUAUUCAAAGAUAUUAAUCACAUUUCCUCAACUUUUUAGGAAUAUAAUAAGCACACACACACACAAAGACACACACACACACACACACACACACACACAGAGUACCUAAAAUGUUAUAUAAUAAUUGGAUGUAUAUAUCUCUUCAAUUAUUUUGGGACAAAUAAACAAUAAACAGGUGUUUUAUACAACUCACUUUGGAAAAAUACUGCUAGAAUCUUUUUUUUUUUUUUUUUUUGAGAGGGAGUCUCGCUCUGUCGCCCAGGCUGGAGUGCAGUGGCGCCAUCUCGGCUCACUGCAAGCUCCGCCUCCCGGGUUUACGCCAUUCUCCUGCCUCAGCCUCCCGAGUAGCUGGGACUACGGGAGCCCGCCACCGCGCCUGGCUAAUUUUUUGUAUUUUUAGUAGAGAUGGGGUUUCACCGUGUUAGCCAGGAUGGUCUCGAUCUCCUGACCUUGUAAUCCGCCCGCAUCGGCCUCCCAAAGUGCUGGGAUUACAGGCGUGAGCCACCGUGCCCGGCUAGAAUUUUUGAAUUUUUAUUUUUAGCACUUUUGCCAUAAAAAUUCUGACAUAGACAUUAUUAACAGGAGUAGUCAUUCAAAUAUUUUAAUUUUUUAAUGAGCACUAAAAGCUCUAAAGAAGGAAAUGUCUUUGUUAAACAAAUUAUAUAAACAAGUAAUAGAUAAUUUACUACUGGUUCUCUACUAUGA